AGUGAUACGUAUCGGGAAACAGUAGUUACACAAGCAAUUUCUUGUAGCUCCGGUGUAUCGGAAUGUAACAGUACCAAAGGGCCGAAAAACCAAUCUGCCCAAUGAAUCGAAAACAAUUAAUUCCAGAUAGUGUAACACCAAGCUAUGUAAGACGAUAGGAAAAGACAUACUAUUUUGAAUUUAACGAUGAAACGAAUCCAAAAAGCCAGACAACAGAAUACGAACGCAAUAUAACUCUAAACACUAACAUAAGUAUAACGGAAAAAGAGGACGAGGGUUUUCGCCCAGUAUGCCUUGUCCCAUUGACACACGGACAGGGGACUCCAUCUUAUACAACGCUGGAUACAACAAAGACACUGCAAAUUUCAGGAAAUGUAUUGAAUAUACAAGGAUUCAACUCAUGAGAACGAAGCUCAAGUUUAAUCUUCAAGGAAAAAUGGAGUAAAUGAAUUGCCCCAAAUGGAUAUCAAUUUCUUCAUCUUCAAACAAUUGUCUAGACAGCCAUUCUUGACAUUCGACACAUAGUUUGAUGAAUAGUAUUUCAUAGUCAUGACUCAAACAUCACACACCAUAUGUUACAGCUCUUUACAUUAUUCACGCUACUCAAUCAUCUUCAUGAUGAUAACAAGAGGAUAGAUUUCAAAUAAAUUUGAUUCACUACAUAAAACUAAUACAAGAUGCUACACUAUUGCUCUCUAUUCGGUUCAGAAGACAGUUACCUAAUAAAUGUAAAAGAACUACGAAUCCAUUGACCAAAAUAAAUGUGGUGCAAGGCUACGUCAAAGCUUUAAACCUUGAUAGUAAUACAAGCCCUUUGGGAAACAAAAAGAAUUUGAUCCUGAUCUUAUAGAGCAUAAGCUCAUUUUUACAACUCAAUCGAGAACUAUUUGAGAUAAAAUCUUGCUCACUGCUUGAAGAGAAUAAACACAUAGCAGGUAUAGGGUUUUCAAGGGUAGAAGAACCAAACUGGAAUAAGCAGAUUGAAAGGGGGAGGGGGGAAAUAGAUUCGGCUUGAUUUCUAAAGCAAGUUUAUUGAUUAUGAAAGUAGUCCGUGGAAAUUAGGCGGCAGCUGCUAAUGGCUUCAUUGUUGGACUAACCAACCACAGGUCGAAACAGGAUUGCCGAUUGCAAAAUUUUACCAUAAACUAGGCUUGAAAACAGUGGGCUUGGAAGCUAGGAUAUGGUCUUUUCUUAAGGGGUGAAUAGCACCAAGGGACAGUAACUAAGGCUAGCUCUUUAUUAGAAGGAUGACAAAGAAAGGAAGAAACGAAGGAAAGGAUUCUUAACCUCACUAGGCAUAAGCAAAAUGAAGUC